UACCAGCACCCCGAGUGGUCGGGACGUUUAUUGGGCCUAAAGCAUCCGUAGCCGGUUCUACAAGUCUUCCGUUAAAUCCAACUGCUUAACAGGUGGGCUGCGGAAGAUACUAUAGAGCUAGGAGGCGGGAGAGGCAAGCGGUACUCGAUGGGUAGGGGUAAAAUCCGUUGAUCCAUUGAAGACCACCAGUGGCGAAGGCGGCUUGCCAGAACGCGCUCGACGGUGAGGGAUGAAACUGGGGGAGCAA
rnacentral:rRNA from 1 species